rnacentral:rRNA from 1 species
UAAGCACGAAACUUGCCCCGAGAUGAGUUCUCCCUGAGACUUAGAGUCUCCUGAAGGAACGUUGAAGACGACGACGUUGAUAGGCCGGGUGUGUAAGCGCAGCGAUGCGUUGAGCUAACCGGUACUAAUGAACCGUGAGGCUUAACCUUAC